GUGGGGAAUUUUGGACAAUGGGCGCAAGCCUGAUCCAGCAAUGCCGCGUGCAGGAAGAAGGCCUUCGGGUUGUAAACUGCUUUUGUACGGAACGAAACGGUCCUGGUUAAUACCUGGGGCUAAUGACGGUACCGUAAGAAUAAGCACCGGCUAACUACGUGCCAGCAGCCGCGGUAAUACGUAGGGUGCGAGCGUUAAUCGGAAUUACUGGGCGUAAAGCGUGCGCAGGCGGUGUUGUCAGACAGGCGUGAAAUCCCCGGGCUCAACCUGGGAAUUGCGCUGGUGACUGCAGUGCUGGAGUACGGCAGAGGGGGAUGGAAUUCCGCGUGUAGCAGUGAAAUGCGUAGAUAUGCGGAGGAACACCGAUGGCGAAGGCAGUCCCCUGGGCCUGUACUGACGCUCAUGCACGAAAGCGUGGGGAGCAAACAGGAUUAGAAACCCUUGUAGUCC
rnacentral:rRNA from 1 species